GCCCCAGCUGUGAGAGUCAUUGAGCAGCAGCUUCCUGAUGCUGUAGGACUGAGCUGACUGGCAGUUAGGGUCUGGGCAGGGGUGCUGGUGGGUAGGGGGCCUGGUGCAGAGGCUAUUUGCCACUUGUCACAGAAGUAGUUUUAACAUUUGAACUCUGGAUUCAUCAACACCCAUGCAUACCUAUUGAAUGUCAGCCCUGUGCCCCUUCACUCUGGCACAUUCAAAUUCACCUUCCCACAUGCAUUCAUUCAUGAGCCCUCCUGUGAGGCAAGGACUCACCACGCCCUGACACAAAACCGCACGCUGUCAAUCACCCUGAAAUACAUGUUCACAUACCAACUCACACUCACAGACACCUGAGUGCACCAACAGGCAUGCUCACAUUUACAUUCUUGCUUAUGCACGUGGCCCCAGAGCACAAAGUCCAGACCUUUCCCCAGGCUUCUGCAACAUCCCAACAGGAUGUCCGCCCAUCAGUCUUGGGUCAAUUUCCACAGCACAAAGACCUCAGGAUAAAAGGAUACUGUGCUACACCCAAGUGGUAUUUCAGCACCACUCAACUUCCAAGAGGCUGACCUUGGCUCUCUUCUCAGAGAUGGAUGUUUUGCCCACUCAUCCCCUCUGCUUCCAUAGCCAGCUUCAACUUCAACAGGUGAGUCCACAAGUGUUCCAUUGGAACUAGCCUCUCACCAUGUCCAGGACUUUAUUUCCCCUUUAUAUAACUCCAAGGACCAUGGAGGGUCUUCUAGAAAUAUCAUACAGGGAUAAGGGAUGGAGGAAAGAGAUCAACUAAUCAUACAUUUUUGGAAACUCAUCCUCUUACUCUCCUCUCUCCAUGGGCCUGCUUUGAAUACUCUGAUACAAAGUAUCUAAUAUUAGAAUCUGAGCAUCUCAUUUGCAAACAGAUAAAUUAGAGGAUGAAAUGAUUCAAUUUGCAAAUGAAUUUCCCACAUUAAAAAAAAGGUCACAAGGUCUCUUUAAGUAGCAUCUUCUAAAAUGUUUGUUGAUAGAUUAUUAAGUAAUUAGUGGAGGUAAACCCAAAACUAAAAUAUUCUAAGCCAUGACUACUGGCUAAGUAUCAUGCAGACAUUAAGCUGAUGCAAAUAUCACAUGAUUAUGAUUUUUAAAAUAAGAUGUAAUUUGCUCAGUUUUAAGUUUGCGUUUUACUGGAUAAACAGCUAANNNNNNNNNNNNNNNNNNNNNNNNNNNNNNNNNNNNNNNNNNNNNNNNNNNNNNNNNNNNNNNNNNNNNNNNNNNNNNNNNNNNNNNNNNNNNNNNNNNUAAUUUGCUCAGUUUUAAGUUUGCGUUUUACUGGAUAAACAGCUAAAAUACAGGAAUGAUGGCAGCUCCAAACCUCCACUGUCCUCUCUACUGGUAACUCAGAAUUCCCCUUUUUGGUUUUCUUUGUUUAAUUCCUGGAAAUAACAUGACAAGUAUGUUUCACGUGUCUCCAGAUGGAAACAUCAACAACUCUUCUUUUCCCCCCAGACCCAGAGGCAAAAGUGCCCUCGUGAAGAUGUAUCUAGAUAGAGAGUUAGAUGAUUAGCAUGGUCUCUGACAAGAUCCCCUCCCAGUGCCAGACCUCUGCUGCCCGGUCAUGGCAUUGUUUAUCUGCAGGGUGGGGCUGGGGUUUCUCAAGCUUUGACUCACCUUCAGAAAUGAGUCUUACCUCUGCCCUCCCCUUUCUAAUGGAGUCAUGGGUACACACCUGCUCUCAGGUGUCUGCUCCCUAGAGAGGCAAGAUGCAAAGCCUGGCUUCCUGAUUUCAGCGCAACAUGGUGCUUUGAAGAUGACAGAGAGGAUGUAGGACUCAUGAUCAAGUGACCAGGCAACAGUCCCAUGUCCAUGCUGGAGCAGUGUGGGUGGGAGCGGGCACUACAGGGUCAUCAUUCCACAUAGCUUCUCAGGACCCACCUCAUCUGGAGGUGUUUACAUGAGGUGAUUUGAGGGGGAGCCAGGAAGUCUCCACUCCUCCACUGAAAAGAACACUCAUUCUCCCAGCCACUUGGGGUGCCUGGAAAUGAGUCAUUGCUGAUCUAAGAGACUUAGGUGGGCCCCCUUUCUGGGUUCCAGAUCUAGCCACCAGCAGAGCCAUGAUUUUUUCACCUAUAAAAUUAGAAAUACAAUUAGCUUUCUUCAUCGAGUCUUGUGAAAACUGUAUAUAGAGGUGCUUCAUAAGGUUUAAUGACCAAAACUAUGCACCUGUGUCUGGCAGUGCAGGGGAGAGGGAUCAGUUAGGGCUUCUUAGCACAGUAGUCUCCAGCCAUUUUGGUACCAGAGACCAGUUUUGUGGAAGACAAUUUUCACACAGACUGGGGCAGGGGAGAUGGUUUAGGGAUGAUUCAAGCACAUUUUUUGUGUACUUUGUUUCUAUUGUUGUUACAUCAGCUCCAUCUCAGAUCAAUAGGCAUUAGAUCCCAAUGGUUGGGGAUUCCUGUUUUAGAGGAAGAAGGAUGGACAGGCUUGAUGGGAAAGAGAGCAUCUGUCAACCAGGGAGGAAAGAGGAUACGGAUCUGGUUCAAAUGAUGGAGACUACCAGAAUCAGCUUCCUAAUUCUGUCAUUAACAUAGCAUGCACUAAAUAUGAGCCCAGGAACACAGGCACUUCAGCUGACUGUAAAUUACUGUGAAGUCAGGAGACCUGUGAUCCAACCCUGGCUUUGACAUGAACUCUGUGUGACCUUGGGUCAAGUAUGUCCUCAUUACAAGUCUCAAUUCUCCUUCUGUGAAAUAGGGACAAUGUGCCCAAGAUGGAAGUUGAAUGCCAACGCUUUGAAAAGUUUAACAUGUGAGAUGUGUAUGCUUGAAUGACUCUUGGAAAUUUAUGAUGUAGAGGACACAGAGAUCUCAAGUCCAGCCAUGUUCUCUAUAAAGGCCAUUCCCAGAGUAUCAUCCUCUGAGAUGAUAAUCGUGUUAUAAGCCAGAGUCUAUCAUUAGAUAGAGUUCUCCAAAGUAAGCAGGAGUUGUUGAAAGUAAGAGGUCAAUGAGCAGACUGAGGAAAAUAGGAAGUAACAUUUAUCCCAGAGAGGCUGUGUGGAUGGCAGGGACAUGAAGAAUGGAAAACCCACCCCUUCCUGGGCAGCACACAUAGAUUGAUGCCUUCUAGGUGCCAGAUGUGGGAGAACACCUUGAAAUGUGUCUACACCAAUUCAUCUUGCCACACGCUUCCCUUUUGGAUAAUUUGCAUCACGAUGAACACAGCCUUUGCAUCACAGCCUUACAAAUAGCUGUGAAAAGAGGAGAGGUGAAAAGCAAAGGAGAAAA
ensembl:lncRNA